rnacentral:rRNA from 1 species
AGCAGCCGCGGUAAUUCCAGCUCCAAUAGCGUAUAUUAAAGUUGUUGCAGUUAAAAAGCUCGUAGUUGAAUUUCGAGACCAAAUUGUUGGUCGUGCCUUGGUACGUACUGGCAAUAUUGGUUUCUCCCUUCUGACGAACCAAGAUGUCAUUAAUUUGGUGUCUUGGGGAAUCAGAACUGUUACUUUGAAAAAAUUAGAGUGUUUAAAGCAGGCUCGCGCUUGAAUACAUUAGCAUGGAAUAAUGAAAUAGGACGUUUGAUUCUAUUUUGUUGGUUUCUAGGAUCGACGUAAUGAUUAAUAGGGAUAGUUGGGGGCAUUAGUAUUCAAUUGUCAGAGGUGAAAUUCUUGGAUUUAUUGAAGACUAACUACUGCGAAAGCAUUUGCCAAGGAUGUUUCAUUAAUCAAGAACGAAAGUUAGGGGAUCGAAGACGAUCAGAUACCGUCGUAGUCUUAACCAUAAACUAUGCCGACUAGGGAUCGGAUGAUGUUAAUUUUUAAUGACUCAUUCGGCGCCUUACGG